rnacentral:rRNA from 1 species
AAUCUUCGGCAAUGGACGAAAGUCUGACCGAGCAACGCCGCGUGAGUGAAGAAAGUUUNCGGAUUNUNAAGCUCUGUUAUUAGGGNCGAAAGGCUCUAGGAGGAAAUGCUUAGGGAUUGACGGUACCUAAUGAGGAAGCCAUGGCUAACUACGUGCCAGCAGCCGCGGUAAUACGUAGGUGGCAAGCGUUGUCCGGAAUUAUUGGGCGUAAAGGGUGCGUAGGCGGUCUAGAAAGUCUGAUUUGAAAGCCCAUGGCUUAACCAUGGAAUGCGAUUGGAAACUAAUAGACUUGAGUGCAGGAGAGGAAGGUGGAAUUCCACGUGUAGCGGUGAAAUGCGUAGAGAUGUGGAGGAACACCGGUGGCGAAGGCGGCCUUCUGGCCUGCAACUGACGCUGAUGCACGAAAGCGUGGGUAGCAAACA